rnacentral:rRNA from 1 species
CGGACGGGUGGAGUAAUGUCUGGGAAACUGCCUGAUGGAGGGGGGUAACUACUGGAAACGGUAGCUAAUACCGCAUAACGUCGCAAGACCAAAGAGGGGGACCUUAGGGCCUCUUGCCAUCGGAUGUGCCCAGAUGGGAUUAGCUUGUUGGUGGGGUAACGGCUCACCAAGGCGACGAUCCCUAGCUGGUCUGAGAGGAUGACCAGCCACACUGGAACUGAGACACGGUCCAG